rnacentral:rRNA from 1 species
UACGUAGGGGGCUAGCGUUGUCCGGAAUCAUUGGGCGUAAAGAGCGUGUAGGCGGCCCGAUAAGUCCGCUGUGAAAGUCCAGGGCUCAACCCUGGGAUGCCGGUGGAUACUGUCGGGCUCGAGUCCGGAAGAGGCGAGUGGAAUUCCCGGUGUAGCGGUGAAAUGCGCAGAUAUCGGGAGGAACACCAAUGGCGAAGGCAGCUCGCUGGGACGGUACUGACGCUGAGACGCGAAAGCGUGGGGAGCAAGCAGGG